AUAUCGGGAUUGGCAGAUACUCAAACUAAAAUGAUGGGGAUCGGAUCGGCAGCAAAAAAACAUGAUCGGAACAACCCUAAUAAAAGUCGUGGUAAAGAUAUCCAGAGUCGACUUACUCUUUUUACAGCUUUUUUAAAUGCUCUUAACAGGGAUGAAAGUGGGCUGGAACGGUCUGGAACGCUGUUCCGGUAAGAGAUUCGGCGCCGGGACAGGGCAGACCGGUGCUUUGAUCCCAAAAAUAUGACAGCAACCGGCAAGAUCCCAUGCGAAAAACAUCCUGCCUUGCUGCCACACAGACAUAUUCAAGAGCAAAACUACGGGAGUUGGCAACCCUAUGUGCCACCCACUUGGAGGGGGGAGAAAGAGGAGAGGAAGGCGGACGUUGGAGAACGCCAAGAGGACGAAAUAGGAUGGAGCAACACCUCUGGGAGUAUUUUUUUUAUUUUUUAUUUUUUUGUCUCUUGUGACCUCACAUAGCUGAACUCUUUGGCUGCCCUUGACAGCAAUACACAUCAAUAGCUGUUUUAAGUAUCAAUUUCCCUUGUUUACUAACUACCACAACACAUACUCUGUGACCUGAACUGGAAUUAUCCCUCAAAAAAUGACUCCAGUAGGUUGUAAAGUUUUCUAAAAGACAAUGUGCAUCUACAGCAAGAGCACAUCAUGUUUCCAAGGUGAGCAUGAUUAAAUCAUGCUGUCCAUACAUAAACGUGAACAAUGAAUGAGUAGCUAGAUUAGAUCAUGUUGAUGCAACAUAAUGUUAACGUGCCUUUCCAACCAAUUGCAAUAGUCUCGUCAUUUCUCGUCAUUUAAAAGGAGGGUUGCCAACUCCCUGAAAAAAUAAGUGACACCUCAUUGGUAGAGCCGGCCGGCCCAAUAACCGUCACCAUUUAAUUAUUAUUUUGUUUGUGAAAAGUGUUUUUUUUAAUUAGAUGGGGCUUUGCAAGGCACAGGCCUAGCUAGUAAAAUUCCUCAACUUUAUUUUUAUUUCUUUCAUUCUUAAUCUUAUUAUCCACGUUUUUUCGGCGAACUGGAGACUCCAAACCGUUUGACCGACCGGCACCGUUUCAAUAUCAAAAUGACCGGAAUUCCAUUCAUUUUUAAUGGCAAGCAUUUUCCCUUCAUUUUCAGUGACAGGAAAACAUUGGUGGUUGUGAUUUUUGACCACUUACCAUUACAGCCCAUUGGCAUUGAACUGGCACCUAAGUGACCGGUCCAGUGAAUGGACGUGUCACAAAUGAUUGACCUGAGGAGCGUUGGCCAACUAAGCCAGGAAGAACUAUGUCAUUCGUUAACGAGUCAGCGGAAGCACUAAUGACAUGCGAGUAAGAGCGCAUGUGCGCAUUUGCUCCCACGAAGAAGUCGCGCAGACGAGUGAGAGAGAGACCUGCGCGCACAUUUGUUGCUUGUGAAGCAUCCACAGAGGGAACACCUGUAUAUAACAGCUUUUGUACUGUUUAUUGUGCGUUUUCUAUUGUGGUCAAAUACUUGGGGUGCAUUUAUUUGAUUGUUUUUGAUGAUGUGCGGACACUAACUGGUACAUGCUAAUUGUUUUUGUGGAUUGUUACUGCUGUAUCAGCAGCUAGUAAUAAACGCACAUUUGAACUGCUGUUAUUGAAGAUGAAACUGAUUUAAUUUCAUAUUUAUUUUAGUUUACUUCUGCAAGUGUUGAUGUUAUAAGCACCUGAAUAAAAUCAACACA